AUAACCAAUUGAAUUUCUUUAAAACUUAAUUCAAAAUUCCCUAAAGCAUUAACUUUGUUAUUAUCUGCUUGUUUUCGCUUCGAUGUUUAUUAGUUUGGCAACAUGGCAAGUGCUGAAGUGUUAUUUGUGUAGCAGAAUCAACUCAUAAGUUGUUUGGCAGUUCAUUUUCAUUGGAAUCAGCUAGCAGCCUGUAGCUAUAUUAAUGUCAUUUGGUUUUCAAAUCCAAUUAAGUUAUUAUUUCAAUGCAUGGAUCCAUGAAGACUGAAUUGAUUCAUUUCACAAUGUUCAUGUGCAGGGAAAUUGGAAUGGAUUGUGCCGGGAGUAUCAUGCAUGACUAAUUUGAGUUGCACAAUACUGUUAAAUUGGAUACUGAUCUAUUGCAUCAUUGACUGUGAUUUCUCUGCAGGGUUGGAUGGAGAUCUGAAUUUACUUAUUAAUUGGCUCAACCAGAUGACUUGAUUGUAUCGGAUCAAGACAGCAUGCAAUUUGAGUUAAAGACGAGUGACAUGGGAAGAAGAAAGCUCCUGUUAAAGUGUGAAAUCUGUCUGACUUGCAUGUUUACCGGCUUUUAACCUCAACCAGUUGUUGUGAAGAGACUUUCAAAUGCUCUUGUUUCAUUGACAGGUUAAUCCCCCGUUGGAUUGCACCCUCUAUACAUGUCAAAGGGAAAGUCUUCUUUACGUCUUCUUUUAGGCUCCAAAGCGGCUGGAGUGGCAUUUCCAACUUCAGCCUCAUACCAGGGAGGAGUGGUCAGACAACGGGCACAUUGACCUAGCUGAACGAAGCCACUGUAGACAACGGCAUUGGCACAAGUAACGGUGGUUCCAGGGCCGAUGGCCCCACGACCAGUUUUAGUAAGCGUUGGCAGCGUAUCAUCCCUUAGCGGGCCGUGGGCCUCUAAUGUCCUUCACAGCAUCCGCUGUUGACGAGACAGAAGGCUUGUGUUUGAAAGAACUUGUUCUUUCGGGUCUAGGUCAUUUUCUUUUCUUUUACUAUCUGGCAAGUUAAAUCUUUUCAAUGUGAAUUCUCGAUUCCUAUCAAAGUCUUUCAAGUUUAGAGAAACAACAUUAACUUCAACUGCUAAAACUACAUCUGGCCAAAAUAGUCUCGGUGACCUUCCGGCUGAAUUCAUCCGCCGUAAUUCAGUUGCUCAUUUUGAUCAGAUGGCACAGAAUUUUUACAAAAUUUACGAGUCAAUGCUAAAGGGAAGGAAGUAUGAGCAAGAGUAGGAGUCGGACUAAAGAUCGUUAAAUUUGCUGAACAUUUUUCAUCCCUUUCAAAAUUUCGUUUCGUUCAAAAUAAUUUUCUCUGUAAAAUUUUCAAUUAAAUACGCGAGAUCUUAGUGGGUUUUAUUGUUCGUUAAUCGUUACUUUGAUAAUAGGGUUUCUGGGCAAGCUGUUUUGAUUCACUUCCAAUUACUGUACCCACUUGUUCCUAUUUCAUGAUUAAUUUCUCAUUUAUCCCCGUAGGAUUAAAUUCGGACGAUGCUGAGUUGUCUUUAAAUCUGAAAUUCUGAAAUCUUCAAAUCUGAAUCUGAAAGCAAUCCAGCCGUUCCAUUCAUUCGUUCAUGGAUCCUGAUGAAUCUGUCGGCUGUCACUAGGGGUCACUAGAGACCCUGAGCGAUGAUGUUAGAUGUUGUGGACUUGUUGUGUUCUUCGAGAUUUUCCAUCAUGAGAAUGAGAAAGAUAAUCAGCUUAUCACUUGGCCAAAUUCACUGAUGACGUGGCAUGAACAGCUGGCCAUUUUGCCGCAAUUUUGUCAGGGCUACCUCUAUGGGCUUUGUUUUUGUCUCAUCCCACACAGAAACAUUGCAAAACUGAAGUUUCAUUUCAUAGCCAGAUGAAGUUUGGGUCUAUGUGGUGCCGUCUAACAUGCUCAUGGUGACAUUGUAGCUAGCUGGUGAAUGGUGUGGUGAGAUGCUGCUUGUAUUCUGGUACUGGUGUGAUGGGCUGCUGCAUGCAGUCUGUUGUACCCUGCAAUCUGUCGAUAGUCUGCUUGGCCAAUGUUGCAUCAGCCUGGGAUGUUGGAAAACUUAACAGCCGUUACUUGACAGUGUGGUCACUAUGAAGAACAGUGACUGUCAUGUGUCAUGGGCAAGUUGAAUGCCCUCACAGGUUUCGUUCACGCCAACCUCCAUCAAAAUGGCCUCAGCAAUUACCAGUCUAGCGAGAAGGGCCGCAUGCAGGAAGCUCUGAUGCAAGAAAGAAAGUCUUUGCUGGUCAUGAAACCGUUGCUGGACCACACGGUGGAAGUGUUGGCCCUGUGGAAAUUUGUGUGCGACCACCAACUGCAUUUGCUUGACCCAUCGAUGUCGUCCAUAAUGUGGAUGUCGCUGAAGCCGACCGUCCUCCGUGACUUGAUUCUCUCGGCUCGGAUACUUGCAUCGGUCUCAUCAACUCACUCAUCAACCGCUACUUGGACGAUGCCGCUGGCACGGACGCCAUCAGGGACAAACUAAGCAAAGUCUGCCCAUCUCUCUUUCGAAUCGAGGUAACUUUUAAUUUCCCCUUUGACAUUUGACAAGAAAUCUACUUCGAUUCCUUAACACGGGACGCCCUGUGCACAAAAGUGAACGAGCAUUUGCUGAAAGCCCGAACGACGACGAUGAUCGGAUGGAGAAGAAGCGUCUACUGCAGUAAACCCGGGAGACGUGCAACAGAAUCCGGCCCGCAUCAGUUCGGCACUCGUCUGUCAGUAGCUAUCCUCUUGUCAUUGCUACGGAAGUGUCGUGAAGCUUCUGCAUUGUGGCGGAGAAACUGAACCCUCAUCAUCGGGCCCUGCAGUGCUACAACGGCCAUCAGUAGGAUCCUGGCGCCGUGGAACCUUUUUAGCCCGCAAGAAUUGCCACCAGUAAAUGCGUCUGGUGAUGAUGAUGGUGGUGAAAUGAUCGUUCCCAAAUCACCCAGACCGGUGGUGCAGAAAACUCCUCUGGAAGCUCAGCGUUCGGCCGACGAGACACUGUCUUUGGCCUUGUAGUCGAACGAUGAACUGUCACGUUGCCUUUUUCGAUUGGCUGACGUAAAACAAUUGUUGGAGAUCCAAUCGUCCCACUCGGAGAAUUACUACAAGAGACAAACAGUCGUCCAGUGUAGUUAACAGCAAACGAACCUGGUGGCCAAGUACGACCCGCUGUGGAAGUUUUGUGAGAAGAGUAAGUGGCCAGUUUUUCGUGGCCGCUCGAGUUCUUCUCCGCCUUGCCUUGCCGACAUUCACAACACGACCAUCUGUUUGCCGAAGGGCCGUAGGGAGACUAAUGUCUAAUUUUAACUCUUAUUUAAUUUUGUUGCUUCUUUGAAAAUGCAUAGGUUUGGAUUUCGAUUAUUCGGUUAAAUGCUACCGAGUAUGAUCGUGGGCCAAAUAAUUUAUUCAGCUAAAUAAGAUCUCGGUUUUGUCGGAUGAUUCGGCGCAACAACUCAUACGUCUCGUUCAACGGUUCAAGAGCAACUCGCUUAUUCACUCCCGCUAUUUGGAAAUCCAAGUAAGAAAACCUUCACUCCUCAAACCAUUUCUAGGGGCGUACCAAAUUAUAUCGUUGUCGACUCAUCUUUCGAUAUCGGAAGCAACCGCUCCAGUCAAACUGCCGGACAGCGUUCUGAAAAUCAAUGUUGCAGUAAUGUUCCACUAUUGGGGCCUUGGGGGACUGUGCUGACGGAAGUUCGUCUGCAGUGAAAAGUAGAAAAAUCACGAGCCAGCAACUCAUGUCGGGCGUCGUUACGGUUGAAACUUCGGCAGGGCGACUGAAAGAGUGAUUGCCUACGCAAAUCAGUGUUGGAAAUGUUUCAGGCCUGCUGUUGUAUACUAACAUUUGGAAAAUGAGUCCUUUAACAUAAAGUUUUCUUUUAGAUUUCAAUUGCCAGAAUUUUAUCUUCUGGUGUUCCGUCCCCCUUCGCGUGGCUGAUAUUAAUCAGAGAGUGGAGGAAAUGUUUGAAACAUCCAAGGAUUCUCUUAUCAGUGCCUGAAAUGAGGCAAGGGUUGUACCAACUGCAUUGGAUGUGGAAUCUCACCAUACUGAAAUGGAUGUGACUCACUUUCCUAUUCGAACUGUAGGCCUGGAAUAACGAGAAUUCCAAUCGCAAGUCUAGGUUGGUAUCAGCAACCCCAUCAAUUUCAAACAGCAGCUGAUUGCAUUUGGGGCCAAGACGAAAUGUGAAAAGGCCCUUUGUCAAGAACUAUAUGACAUCAGUCAGUAGUCAGGUUACCCCCACAUGCAGUUGACAAAAUAACAGGGUUGCAUAGAAUAAAAUACCUAGUUUUUUAAAUAAAAUAGCUUAUAGUUUGUUUUGUGAAGAGCAGGGUGUACAAGAAAAGAAAAAGAGUUGAUAACUAUAAGAGGAGAUGCAUCAACUACACACUGUGCUGCACUACACCAAUGGCAUCAAGACUUGGAAAUACAUGAACGAAGAAUUCCGUCGUCACGGUCAACGAGGUUGGCAUCUUAUUGGUUCAGAAUCUGCAAGGUGGUUCCCUUAUGCCUCAACAACUAGCUUUCUUCAAGAAAGCUCGUGACAAUUAGCCAAGUAGCAAUAACAAACUAAUCACGAAAGUGUUACUGCGUUUUUGAGCUGGCACUUUUGAAAAGAGCGCUGUAUAAUUUGUUUUCUUUUUUCAGAGGCACCUGGUAGUAUUUUAUGGAAUCUCUUUUCUUCUUUCGUCUGCUUCUUUCACGCGUGGCUUUCGUGGUUGAAGUCGAUCGUUCAAGGCUCGUGGAGUCCUGGUAGAGAAAUUUCGCACUUCUCUAUGGAACAUCAUUUCUCGUGUGGUCUGCUUCCUUCACGUGGCAUGGUAUUCCAUGGCAUACCAAUUCAGCUAAUUCAAACAUGACACGAAAAUUUGCAUGAAACUAGCGAGUGAACUGUGUUCUCUGUCCCAGUUCUCAAGAUUGAUUGCUAGGUCUACGCGAACAAAAAUGCGCUUUUCAACUUUUGUGGGUAUGUUAAGACCAGUCCUUCAACUACGGCGGUUUGCUGUCAAAAGUUAAGCUAUCUUUUCUUCGAAAAUUUCCAAUGAAUUCAUAGGUAAAUUCGAGUGAUUUUGUCUGUAACUUGUCAGUGAUUUGUUCUAUUCCGUGUACAUGUUGGAUAACCUUAAUGUUUUUCAUCAAACUUACAGUCUGAGGAAACGUGAAAGUGGUGCAGUCUACCGUCAACUAUUUUGUUCAAAUUCAUUCUAUUCUACUGAA